UACAGAGGUCUCAAGCGUUGUUCGGAUUCAUUGGGCGUAAAGGGUGCGUAGGUGGCGCUGUAAGUCGGGUGUGAAAUCCCCAGGCUUAACCUGGGAACUGCAUUCGAGACUGCAUUGCUAGAGUAUGGCAGAGGGGGGUAGAAUUCCACGUGUAGCAGUGAAAUGCGUAGAGAUGUGGAGGAACACCGAUGGCGAAGGCAGCCCCCUGGGUCAAAACUGACGCUCAUGCACGAAAGCGUGGGGAGCAAACAGG
rnacentral:rRNA from 1 species